AGCUCCAAUAGCGUAUAUUAAAGUUGUUGCAGUUAAAAAGCUCGUAGUUGGAUUUCUGGUUGGGCUGGUGGGUCUGCUCUUUGAGUAUGCACCUAUCCAGUUUGACCAUCCUUUGGGAGAACCAUAGUGGCAUUAAGUUGUUGGUGUGGAUAUCCCAAUCUUUUACUGUGAAGAAAUUAGAGUGUUCAAAGCAGGCUUACGCCGUUGAAUAUAUUAGCAUGGAAUAAUGACAUAGGACUAUUGUACUAUUUUGUUGGUUUGUGCGCAAUAGUAAUGAUUAACAGGGACAGUUGGGGGUAUUUGUAUUCCAUUGUCAGAGGUGAAAUUCUUGGAUUUCUGGAAGACAAACUACUGCGAAAGCAUUUACCAAAGAUGUUUUCAUUA
rnacentral:rRNA from 1 species